rnacentral:rRNA from 3 species
GGGUUGUGAGGUUAAGCGACUAAGCGUACACGGUGGAUGCCCUGGCAGUCAGAGGCGAUGAAGGACGUGCUAAUCUGCGAUAAGCGCCGGUAAGGUGAUAUGAACCGUUAUAACCGGCGAUUUCCGAAUGGGGAAACCCAGUGUGAUUCGUCACACUAUCAUUAACUG